GAUUUCUGACUGUGUACAUACGGCCUUGACCAUUAUGGUCUUGUGCUGUACUGUAUCAGUCAUCCUUCUAAGGAAUACACGUGUCCUUCAUUGGACAUCGUGUACGACUUAGAUCUUUUACUUUGAAAAAAUUAGAGUGUUUAAAGCAGGCUUACGCUUCUGAAUACAUUAGCAUGGAAUAAUAAUUUAGGACUUCGGUUCUAUUUUGUUGGUUUCUAGGACUGAAGUAAUGAUUGAUAGGGAUAGUUGGGGGUGCUAGUAUUCAGCGGCCAGAGGUGAAAUUCUUGGAUUCGCUGAAGACUAACUUAUGCGAAAGCAUU
rnacentral:rRNA from 1 species